AUAGUAUCACUAAUGGUGGCAUGCCCAGCACCCUGGCACGACCUUUGGUGAUGCUACUGAUUAUUUGUCGAUGCUAAUUAGUGUCGCUAAAAGUAUUUACCUACGCUUAUUUUGCAUUGCUAAUUAUCUUUUUAACAAAAAAAAUAAUUAUUUUUAUGAUAAUUUUUAUAAUUUUUUCUAUAAAUCUAUAGAUAAAUAAAUAUAUAUAAUAUAUAUAAUAUGUAUACUACCUUCUUCAUUCGUACGUAUGCCAGA
rnacentral:lncRNA from 1 species